GGUUCAUGACUGGGGUGAAGUCGUAACAAGGUAGCGCUAGGGGAACCUGGCGCUGGAUCACCUCCUUACACGA
rnacentral:rRNA from 1 species